rnacentral:rRNA from 1 species
GACAGAGGGUGCAAACGUUGUUCGGAAUUACUGGGCGUAAAGCGCGUGUAGGCGGCUAAGUAAGUCGGGCGUGAAAUCCCACGGCUCAACCGUGGAAGUGCACUCGAAACUGCAUAGCUAGAGUCCUGGAGGGGAAGGUGGAAUGCUUGGUGUAGAGGUGAAAUUCGUAGAUAUCAAGCGGAGCACCGGUGGCGAAGGCGGCCUUCUGGACAGUGACUGACGCUGAGACGCGAAAGCGUGGGGAGCAAACAGG